GAGACCGUUCCCAUUGCUUAGCAACGUGGACGCCAUGUGCUGAACCGUAUGUGCGCACAGGACUUCAAUCGAGGAGCAGAGGGAUCUUACAACAAAAUUUAGCUAAAACAGUAUCUAAAAACUUGAGUGAUGGAGAUGAUGUCUUGACAAGACUCCAUCGAAGGCAGUGGAGGACUAUCUGGAGUACAGAAUGUUUUGACAAAUACAAUUUAUUCUAGGAUUAUAUUCAUCCUGGAUUACUGCUGGAAUUUCCCUCUGAGUCACCUCGCUGACUUUGUAAACCUAUUUGCUUUGUUAUGUUUGCCUUCAGUUCAGACAACUUAGACAACUUACAUCCCUUGUAUGUAAAAUUUCACCAAGUCCAUUUUGUUUGGAGUCAGUGUAUUUUACAGCCUUCCUCCCUCCAUUCCUUGUUUCCUUCCCUUUAUCAGCAGAUCAAUCUAAUUGGACUACAUAGGUGAAUAAUUAUGAAGUUGAGAUCAUGAGCUUUGGAGAGUGAAUCACAGGAGGUUGGUGUCACAUUAAUUGGGGAGAACGGGCCCAUGGUAAUGACUGGAGCUGAAUCAGUGGAAUAGAAUACUGAUGCCAAAGUACUAUCCUAUAUGGUGGACUAUUAGACAUUCACACCAGAGGAGGCUGCUGAGGGAAGAACGGCUCAUAAAUGGCCAUUCGCAUGAGCCACUCUCCCCUCAGCAGCCUCCUGUGGUGUGAAUGUCCAAUAGUCUACCAUAUUUUUACUUUUACCUUUAUUUAACUAGGCAAGUCAGUUAAGAACAAAUUCUUAUUUUCAAUGACGGCCUAGGAACAGUGGGUUAAUAACUGCCUUGUUCAGGGGCAGAACGACAGAUUUUUAUCUUGUCAGCUCGGGUAUUCAAUCUUGCAGCCUUUCGGUUACCAGUCCAACGCUCUAACCACUAGGCUACCUAUUGGAUAUAUUGGAUACUCCUUUUGUAUCAGCAUUUUAUUUGAGGAGGAAAGGCAUACUUUGCAGAAUCUGGGUACUCAAUGAUCAGAACUAGUAAUCACACCCCAGUGCUGUGGCAGCUGUUGUUGUGUUUUAGGAUUGUGGGUGAAGAUGAUGGCGGCAGACUAUAUUCUCCCCCAGAGGAACAGAGGAACAGUGUUUCCCCAGCAACUUCACAGCAGGCUGUAUGUGAGCUUCAAAAAGCCAGGGAGAAUAGACUGUAAACUCAUCGGCCCAGAGACACCUUGCUUCUGCACACACAGGCACUUCCUGCUCUGGGUUCCGGAGCCCCUACACCUGUGGGUGUGGCCAUCUUAGCUCCGCCCACCAGACACUGGUGAAGACUAGGGUGGAACGGGAGGCCCGGGUCGGCAAUGAGUUUGUAUACGCAGCCAUGGGGGUAUAAUGGGGUUCAGCUCCCUGGCUGACAGUUACACUGGAUGACAGCGGGGCAGGUGAGACCUCCAGGCAGCAUCACAGACUCACUGACAAGAGACAGGCGCACAAUGAAUUACAGCAUAGACAUCUCAGUCUAUCUAGGAGUCUAAUCUCAGCCUUAGAUACAGUAUAUGAGAUGUCUAAUUGUUACUUUUGACUAACUAUGUGUGUGUGUGCGUCUGUGUGAGUGUGUGUCUGUGUGCGUGUGUGUCUGUAUGCGUGUGUGCCCCACUUCUUUCUGUCCUGUUGUCUCAACAUCCCGGAGCCUUCCAGGAGCAUGUGUAUGAGAAAGCCUGUGGACCUACAGUACAGACAGAGCUCUCUCUGCCGUGAGGACCAGAGAGGAGGAACACAUGGCCUACUUCGAGAGACGCUACCAGGAGAGGGAGAGGAGUGCAUUCUCUAAUGAAACACUGGAGUGCAGCAGAGAACUGUAGAACGCAGCUGUAAAGAUGGAAAAGAAGUGUAGACCAGAGUAGAGAUAAAAGGAAGCAGAGAGAAUGAGAGAAUGCCAAGAGUGUGCAAAGCUGUCAUCAAAGCAAAAGAGUGGCUAUUUUGAAGAAUCUCAAAUAUGAAAUAUAUUUUGAUUUGUUUAACACUUUUUUGGUUACUACAUGAUUUCAUAUGUGUUAUCUCAUAGUUUUGAUGUCUUCACUAUUAUUCUACAAUGUAAAAAAAUAGUAAAAAUAAAG